rnacentral:tRNA from 1 species
GUCGGCGCGCUCCGGGUCGCUCAGCGCCUGCCGCUCCGGAUCGCAGCGCAGGAUCGACGCUUCGAUCGCGUCCGCCGACAC